UACGAGGGGGGCAAGCGUUGUUCGGAAUUAUUGGGCGUAAAGGGCGCGUAGGCGGUGUCGCAAGUCCGUGGUGAAAUCUCUAGGCUCAACUUAGAGACUGCCGCGGAAACUGCGGUGCUUGAGUGCGGGAGAGGUGCGUGGAAUUGCAGGUGUAGCGGUGAAAUGCGUAGAUAUCUGCAGGAACACCCGUGGCGAAAGCGGCGCGCUGGACCACUACUGACGCUGAGGAACGAAAGCUAGGGGAGCAAACAGG
rnacentral:rRNA from 1 species